rnacentral:lncRNA from 1 species
CUCAGCUGGGCCAUUCUUCUGGACCCAGCUGGGCCCCUUUGGACAUGUGUGCUUAACUUUUGGUUGACUAGGCAUCUCUGCUUCUGGGGGUGAGUUGGCUGUCAACUGUGGCACUUUGCUUCUCAUGGUUUCUCGUCCUCCAACAGGCUAGCACAGACUUGCUCUUAUGGAAAUGGUAGAAUUCUGAAAGAAAAACAAAGCAUUCAAGAACUUUUGAGCCUAAGCCCCAAGCUGGCACACUGUUAUGUUUGCAGUCUUCUAUUGGCCACAGCAAAUAAGGCCAGCUGAGAUCCAAGGUUUGGGAAACAGAGUCUGCUUCUUAAUGAGAACAUCUGUACAAGCACACUGCAAAGGGUCUGGAUACAGGGAAGGAUGAUGAAUUGAUGCCAUUUUUGCAAUCAGUAUCACUAUGCAUUUUCUUGCAGAGCUACUAAUGUGUGGACAGAGUCUGCGGCCGUGGCAGGUGGCACACACUGGCAAUGAUGACCAGAGCCACGGUGACAGUGGCAGCCUGCUCCCUGGACUCUGCGUCCCGAAGCACGUGCCAGGCUGCAGCAGCAUCCACAGUGGACAGGGAGCCACGGGAAGCGGGCUGCCAUCAAGCCACAAUUUCACCAGCUCUGCUCUUGGGUGGAACCACUACUUCCCGCCAGAGCUUGCAGAUGAAGCAAAGAGGGGCCAUGGAGGGAUCCAGGGCUGACUGCUUGGAGCCUUGGUUUUCCUGCAUUUUACAAAUGGAGUUGUAGUCAUAAACCUGCCACCUCAUUUAAUUUCCAGUGAUGCUGUAAAACUAAACGAAAUUUUGAAAAUUGUGUAAGACCAU